AUGAAUUUUUAUAAGUAACAACUUCUUUAAUUCAUUCAGAUCUUUCGAAUUGGAUAGUCUGUGAUUCAAAAUUAUGCUUUGAUAUAGUCAAUGAUAAAUCUUUAAGUUUUACAAAGAUUAAUGUUUAAGACUGUUUACCUGAUUCCUACAGCAAAAAAGAACUUUAAAAUGCUGUUGGCAAUAAUCUAAAGCCCACACCUAAUCUAAAAGAAGGUGAAUGACGUCAAGUGUUUGAACAGUCGAUUCUUUGAAAUUAACAAGUGGUUCAUCCACUUUACACAAGUUUAAAAAAAUUAUAAUUUAUAAAACAUAGGAAACAUAUAUUAUUAAAAAGUUUACGCAAA